CUGCUGCUGCUGCUCUCGCAGCGCUGUCGCUGCCUCUGCCUUGAAUGCCUGUGUGUGUGCGUGUAUUUUCGUCGCGUAACUAUUCGCUGCAAACGAAGCUUUGGUGAGACAUUUGUUUCAGUACGUCACCGACAGCGCCAACGUCAAGAAGGAGGAGGCGGUGAACUGCUUGCUCUGCCUGGGCGCGGCGGCUUACACUGUGUGGCUGUGUGCUUGCUUCAUUUUGGGCUCUUCUCCUUCUGGUCUCUGGAUGGCGACAACGACGACAACGACGACGACGGCGGCAACGAGCAGCAGCGACAGCAACGGCGGCGGCAUCAAAGUGAAUUUCAAUUAAAACUGUGCAAAGGUGUUGGUGUUUGGCCUGUGUCUGUUUCUCCGUCCUAUAUGUGUGUGUGCGUGUGUGUUCGAGUGUCUGCAUCUGUCUGUGUGCAUGUUUGUGUGUGUGCCUUGCUGUGUGUCGCCAUUUAACUAAUUAUUAAUUAUAUUGCUAAACAAACAUAAAAAAGCGACAAAAAGAAACUUGAACCCAAUUUCAACUCGAUCAAGCUAAACACAAAAUAAAAAAAAAAACCAAAAACAAAAAAAAAAAAUUGCAAAUUUGCGACGCAGUUUUAAAGGCCAUAACGUAGCGUAACGUAUAAAAUAACGUAACGUAACUGCUUAAACGACAACAACAAUAAAAAUAACAAGAAGCAGCGGAAGAAGAAGAAUUAAAAACAAACUAGCGCGCGACUUUUGAGCUUCGCAACUGAAUAAUUAAAAUUAGAAGCGAAAAGUAAAUACAAAGAAUAAAAUAAAAUACAAGCCAAAAGCAACAAUAAAAAAAAAACUUAAAUAAAGAAAUGAAAUGUAUACACACACAUACAAACACACACAGUUACAAACUCGUAUGGAUUUGUAUAAAAAAAAAUGGCGCACAAGGCAACAGUAAACUUAUACAAUCAAAAUUAAAAUGUUUGCAUGUAUUGCAAAAAUGUAUAAAACACAAAAAAAAAGAAGCAAAAACAAGAAGAGCAAGUGAACUUUGUACUAAAUGGCCCACAAGUGACAAGCGAUGAUGAUCAAAGCUGAUGAUGAUGAUCAACAUAUCGAUAAACGACAAUCGAGAAACUAAACCGCCCACAACUCGAUUGAAGUUGAAGUUUGCAGCUUAGCUGUGAUAAGAGAACGAUGCCACUUUUGGCUUUGGCGGCGUGCAUUGAACCAAUUUCGUAGUUGCUCGUAGUUGCCUCAUUUUUUAUAAUACCUCUGUAUAUUUAUUUAAAGCGCAAAUGUUCAGAUACGACACAAAUGUCGCCGCCAGCCCAGCAACAACAACAACGACAACAACAAAGUCAACUACAUCAGCAACAACAGCUACAAAAACAACGACAAACAGAGACCAAACAACAACUAAGGCAAACUUGCCUAUCUGCCUGUUGCUUCUGCUGCUGUCGCUGUCGCUGCCUCUGCCGCCGCUGUCGUCGCCGUCGACGUUUCGUUCGGUUGAGUUAGUGCGUGUGCUGAGCAUUUAGUAAACUGGCACACACCAAUACUAAAGCACUCUCACACACAGAAUACUCCACUCAGUCACACACAAACACACAUACUUGUAGAAUAGCCCUGAGUAUGUGUGCGUCGCUGCUUAUAUAAUCAACAUCGACAUCGCCGUCGCCAUCGCCAUCAGCAGUCUGCCUAAUGGCUUUGUUUUUGUUUUACAGGCCAAGUGACAAGCGUUAACUACAACUCUUCGACCGCCCCCUGCCACCUUCCCCCGCUCUGUUUACCAGGUGCAGCCGCAUGGUCGUUGCUUGAGCUGCGCGCGGACCGUUUUUGUUAUGCCUUCGACAUUUUUUGCCGUUUUGUGUGAGAACGGAUGUAACAACAGCGAUAAAUAUGAGUACAACGAACAAAAAAAAAAUGUAUACAGUGUGAAAAGUAAAUAUUGAAAAUGCAAACUUGACACUAAGAAACGUUGCGAAAGGAAAAAAAGUUAUUUAAAAAGCAAAGAAAUUAAGUAAAAAAAAAUACCAAAGGCUCAGUCAGGAGCAGCGCAAAAACGGAGCAGACAGCAAUCAUUCACACACAAGCAAACAGACAGUGCAUACACACAACAUUACAUACAUAUGAAACUUGUGCGACCGCAUUCCAGAAAGUUCAAAUAACGAUUGGUUGGAAGAGGAGUUGGAAAGGGGACAAGGCGGAGGAGCCGCACAGCAUAAGCAGCGUGGAAAAAUUAAUGUUAAAGAACUCUCUUACUCAAUGUGUAUGUGUGUGUGUGCGAGGCUUGAAACUUUGCCUGUGCAUGUGUGUAUUUAUGUAGCCUGGAAUGCGGUUCCGUUCAACAACUCUACGCGAAGAACUAAGCCAAAUAGAACUUGCGCUUCACAAAAAAAGUGAGUAAUAAAAAAAUGUGGUGUCCAGAAACUGGUUUUGAUGUUGGCCAAGACUUUGUGUCGUCUGCAUGGAGGGGCAACGGCAUCGGCAUCCAAUCCAUCCAUCCAUUGACAUCUAAGGAGUUUCUUUGAUUCUAACCUCGAAGUCUGCAGCAGCAGCACAUGGGCAAAGAGAGCGCAAGACUUGUGGAAUUUGCCAGCAGCAGUCAAUGCGCUCUCACGCACAGAUACAUGCAAGUAUACACACACACACACACACAUAUAGACACUGUGAGUUACAAGAGUCGAAGACAAAAGCUCGGCUUCGUCUUUGGAGACGAAGUAAAAUAUUUAUUGGCUGAAAUUGGAUGCUGCGCGUCGUCGCUUUGACUGUAUGUGUGAGUGAGUUAGUGUAUGUGUAUAGCGUCUAUUUAGAAAUUCAAAUUGAAAUAUUUGAAGCAUGAGUCAUGCAAGACGACGACGACAUCGAGCGUGGGUCUUGAGCCUAACUUAACUCGAGCGUUAUUCAUAGUGCAACUUUAGCUGUGUGCGGUGGACAUAUUUCUCAGCAGCAGCAAUCAAGAAAUAAAUAUAGUUUUAUGAUCACAAUUGAUUUAUACAUGUUACAAAGUUAUUAAAGAUCAAGACUCGAUUAGCUGUAAAUUAAGUGCAUAUUACAGUAUUUUUGUAACUUGCAGUUGCAAUGUAAAACAAAGGGUAAGGCAAGGAGAUUGGGAAAGAAAGGGGGUUACCUCGUGUGCCUAUCAUAAUUGCAAUCGCUGGACUUAAGAAGUUGCAUCAACAGCAGAAAAUGGCAAAACGAAGAAAAGUCAACCACCAGCAUAGAAUGCGGGCUGGCAGAAAAAAAAAAAAAAAACAAAAGCAACAUCAAGAACCAACAAGUAAGCAAUGUCCGAAUAUGAUCGACUGUAAAAUACCCGUUAACGAAAAUACUUUUUGCGAAAUUGAAACAUUAUUUGCACUUGAUUUUCUACUCACUAAAAUUAUAACUGAAUGAUUUACUUAAUUAUCCGUUCGUUAACUAUUUAUAUUUGGAAUAUACAUAUUUCUAUCAACAAUUUGAAGUAUAAAUACCCUUUUCCAACGUAUUGUGUAACGGGUACAAAAAUGAAGAACACAAGCAGCAGGCAAGCAUAACCAGAAUUUUACAAGAACAACAACAGCAACGGACGAGCGAAAAAAGCUAGAAGGCAUGAGAAGCAAAAGCAGGCAGACAGGGACAGGGACAGUGACGCCAAAGUCCAAAGUGGACAGAAAAACAAAAAGGGUAAAAAAGGGAGCGCAAAUGUGCUCUCCUUCUCUCACACACGCACACAUGCAUCGUUGGUCUAACGGACAGCGGCAAAAUGAUCCCUUGUUGAUGUAGUUCUUGUUCUUGUGUAGUUGUUGUUGCUGUUUUCUUGUUUCUUUUUGCGAAAAGCGAAAAAAAGGCGACAGUAAAACGUUGGCGGUGGUCGAGUGCAGCAGCAGCAGCAACGAAGAACGAGUUGAGCUUGCGGAAUGCUGUUAUCGUUUUGGUGGUUUAUCGAAAUCGCUAAGCUCUAUCGAUUGACAGACAGAGUUGUUGGCAAAGAGUUUGUUGGCCGUUUUAUUUUAUGCAGAACAAACAACACACAAUAAAUGUCAAUUAAAAAUGAUAUUUGUAUAUUAUCGGGGCGGCAGUUGCUGCUUCUGCUGACCGCCAUAAAAAUGUGCUAUAAAAAAGUAACGGUGAAUGCUACGGUCUGCUGAAGUUCGUGUGUGGCUCGAAAACUAUUUCUGUGUAAGUUUUUUUUUAUAUGUAUGUAUGUGUGUGUCCGCUCAAUAGAAAGUUUUUGUUAAUAAAAAUGGCAGGCACACAAAAAAUGAAGAAGCAGAGAUAGAGAAGAAAAAAAAAACACUAAAAACUAAACACACAAAAUAUGUCGAAAUAUAACAACGAAAAAAAGAGUGAAUGAAAAAAUGUUGACCUAAUUUUUGAUGUGGCUGUGGCUGCUGCUGCCAACUUCGCUGCUGCUGCGCCACAUACUUUCCCACAGCUUCCCAGCAGCGUGUGAUCACAUCUCGCGGGAGCAGCGACGACAGCGGCGACGUCGGCAGCGGGCGCUCCCUUAGCACAGCCACAAAGGCAAACAACAGCUGGAACGACGUCUAAAUUAAUGACUGUUAAAUGAAGAUUGUUGCUUCCAGCAUUCCAAUGCGGCGCUGUUGUAGUUGUUGGCGCUCGCUCUCUCUCUCUCUCUUUCUAACUAACAGGGCGCGCCUGCGCAGCGCAAACUUUGAUUUUCUUCUUCUUCGAUUUUGUCUAUUACGUACACCUUUGAUUUCUUGGCUAUAUUUAGCGACUCCCUCCCCGGAUUCGAUAAACUCCCCUCGUUGAAUAGUUGCAGCUGUGAUCAGUUUAUUUUCUCUGAUUUUCUCAGCGCCACUAAUUGUGUGUGUGCUAUUUAUAUUAGAAACCAAAACCUUAAGAUGCUGCCCGAAUUUAGUCGCUGUCUACGAGUGUGUGUGUGUGUGCUUUUUUUGUGUUUGCUUGCUUUGCGCGUGUGAAAAUAUUUAGGCUACGCUCUUUGAAAGCUUUUGUUUUUUCUCGUAUUAGUUUUUUUUUUCUUUUUUCUUUGUGAUGUGUUAACUGACAGUCAAUAAUUGCGACUUGACACACAUAGAGUAAUCAUUAUGAUUGUUAUUACUAUUAUUAUUAUUAAAUAUGGCUUAGUUCCAGGUGCUAUGGUGAAUUAAUUGUGAGGUGAGUAUGCAAUCUAAGUAACUAAGUAUUUGUGUGUUGUGUACAUUCAAGGAAAACGAACUAAACUAA